UACGAAGGGGGCUAGCGUUGCCCGGAAUCACUGGGCGUAAAGGGUGCGUAGGCGGGUCUUUAAGUCAGGGGGGAAAUCCUGGAGCUCAACUCCAGGACUGCCUUUGAUACUGAAGAUCUUGAGUUCGGGAGAGGUGAGUGGAACUGCGAGUGUAGAGGUGAAAUUCGUAGAUAUUCGCAAGAACACCAGUGGCGAAGGCGGCUCACUGGCCCGAUACUGACGCUGAGGCACGAAAGCGUGGGGAGCAAACAGG
rnacentral:rRNA from 1 species